rnacentral:rRNA from 1 species
UACGUAGGGAGCGAGCGUUAUCCGGAUUUAUUGGGUGUAAAGGGUGCGUAGACGGGCAAUCAAGUUAGUUGUGAAAUCCCUCGGCUUAACUGAGGAACUGCAACUAAAACUGGUUAUCUUGAGUGCAGGAGAGGUAAGUGGAAUUCCUAGUGUAGCGGUGAAAUGCGUAGAUAUUAGGAGGAACACCAGUGGCGAAGGCGACUUACUGGACUGUAACUGACGUUGAGGCACGAAAGUGUGGGGAGCAAACAGG